UUACACUGGUAACUGUUCGAUUCCUAA
rnacentral:sRNA from 1 species